rnacentral:lncRNA from 1 species
CCUCACACUCUUUAACAACUCUCCCUCUCUCUUCUCUCUACUAAAAAAAGAAAAAAUAGAAAAAAAAGGAGGAACCACUAUUCCUCUCCUUCGAUCCCUCACACACACCGCCGCUCCCCUUCGCUACCUCCGACCACCGUACAAUCACAACCACACACCAACGCCGCUUUCAGCCACAAUCCACCAAAAACCCCAAAUCGCCGCACCACCUUCAUCGCGAAACAACCACCGACGCGCCUCUCUACGACCCUUACAACCGCACAACCCUUCCGCCGCGCCGUCUCCUCACCCUCUUCGUCCGUCCAUCACGCGAGCCACAAGUACACAAUACUCCGUUAACCUUCAACCUCGCCGUUCACCAAAUCCCGUCUUCACCACAAC